GACGUCGAAGGAACGACGCAGGCCGACCAGGGAUGGCGGCCAGGGAAAGUCGCAGGAUAGCGACCUCCUCAGGACGAGGAACCAGGGAUGCGGUUGAACGACGCGAAACGGCGAGGUUGAUCACCUCGCCGUUUUC
rnacentral:sRNA from 2 species